rnacentral:sRNA from 2 species
AGGUGCCGCGCGUACACGGCGUCCUGCGCGCCGUCCGCACCACUUGGCGACUGCUCGCCACGAUUUGUCAGCU